rnacentral:rRNA from 1 species
UACAGAGGGUGCAAGCGUUGUCCGGAAUUAUUGGGCGUAAAGAGCUCGUAGGCGGUGUGUCACGUCGGCCGUGAAAACCUGCAGCUUAACUGUGGGCGUGCGGUCGAUACGGGCAUCACUGGAGUUCGGCAGGGGAGACUGGAAUUCCUGGUGUAGCGGUGAAAUGCGCAGAUAUCAGGAGGAACACCGGUGGCGAAGGCGGGUCUCUGGGCCGAUACUGACGCUGAGGAGCGAAAGCGUGGGGAGCAAACAGG